UAGGUCUCAGCAUGCCGAAGGCCGUGCUCACCUUUCGGAGCACUGCCGGCCACUGUGGCACGCGUACGAGCGACGCGAAAGUCUGCGAAAUAGCACACACAGUGCUUAAAUCGCAGUUAACUCGCUAACCAGGGCAUCUAUAACCCUAAUGGAGAUGAGCACAGUGUUCAGCACGAAUCCACGAUCAUCGUGCCCACCUCCAUGGGUGUCGGGGUGUCUUCGGAUCGCCGGAACAGUGAAUGGAAACUCAAACUAUAAUGCUGGAACGUAAAAACAGCAUACCGAAGCUGGGGAGAGUUAGGGUUGGCCUCCGGCGGCCGGACGGCGAGCGCUCCGACCGGGAAUGGGAGCGGUAGGUCCGAGAGGUCCGGGGAGGGUGCUGGCCGGCUGCGGGCGGCAACCGGCGGCGCGGCGGCGGAGAUCAACUCCACCAAGCUACUCUCGGGUUCAACGUCCACGGCGUCCACGCGAUGGCCGGAGAAGCUUGGGAUGGCGACGACCCGUCGCCGGAGGCCGAUGGGAAGGCGGCGCGCACGGUACACGGCGGCGGCCCACGAAGGCAAUGCAGGUCCAAGCUUGGCCCGCACGCACUCCAGAUGGCCGCAGAGAGAUCCGGCGGUGGCCGGCGGCACGCGGGGACUGUGAGGAGGCGCGCGGGAGGUCGCCGGAGGUCAUUGGAGGGCGGCGCGGCCGAUAGGGAGCGGCGGCAGUGCACGGGAGCAGAGAUCACCCCGGCUCGGCCUGGGUGACUGCCGCCGGCCGCAGGGAGCUCGGGCAGCCCCGGCGAGGUGCGGGGACGGCGGAGGCCGGCAGGAACUACGCCGGGAAUGGGUCUCUGCCCAGGAAAGCUUCCAGGGAGGGUUUGUGGCAGUUUCCCAAGCAGCUUCGGCAGAGAGAAGAGGGUGGCCGAGAGGGGAGGAGAGGAAGAUGAUGAUGGGCCUUCUGGCGGCUGGAGCCGUUCGCCGGACGUCGAGGCACAUGCACAGGCAGGGCAGGGAUGAUGGUAGGGCGGCUAGGGUUUGCUGAGUGAACUUGGGCAGCAAAAGGACCAAGGAAAACCCUAGUGGCCACCUUUAUACUAGGUGCCAUUUUGCAAGAAACCCCUUCAAGGUCAACUAUUUACAGCUAGGUCCCCUGCUAGCACGUGUAUUAUGCGCCUAAGUCCCCCGACGUUCGAAUUCGCGCAAAACGGCGCAUAAAAUAUUGUAAAUUUUCGCGAUUUAACCAUUUUACCCAUUUGACCUCUUAGCGAACAUCUUGCUUUUUCCGAAGAUCCGUCCGUCGGAUUUCCGAUCGGAUCACGCCAGCACGUUCAGCACGACUGGGGCAUCUAAUCUAGCAUUUCAUUUCAUCCGAAUUGAUCUCCGAUUCACGACAAAACCCACCCUCAUUGUUUCCACCACAUAACCACAUAUAUUUAUAUAUGUAAAACCGAUCAAACCCCUUUUUCUUGACAACCGAGCAUCAGAACCCAAUUCCGUCAGUACCAUUGGGUUCAGAAUAGUCGAGCCAUUCGAAACGAGCUAUUGGAGUCCUAUGUUCAGAGUCCAAUACGCACCAGAACCCUUCUCUACUCACUGGCUCAUCCGAAAAGCCGGAGUUACUAUUCACUUUAAGUUAUCGGUCUUGGUCGCGUAAUUUCUCCAUUCUAGCUCAUUUUCUCCUGAAACUUGACGAGUGCUUAUGUAAUUAAAUUACACACUGAAAUAUCGUCAACAGAGAGUUUAACUGCACUGCCAAAAUCUCAGUCCUUACAGGGAUAGUCGGCGUGGUUAGUUGCCGAACCCACUGGGAACUUUGUUGUAGUUCUCACACCCCUAUUUUCACAGAGCCGGGACCGAGCGAGCCGGUUGAUGAUCGCGGUAAGGGCAUUGUGCCCUAGAUAGUGACCGCCCAUGAUGGUUUCAUAUUUUGUAGUUGCAUUCCCUUUACUAUCAUCUUUUGUAUUUGAUGAUUUUAGUAUCAUGAACAUGUUUAAAUGAAUGAUGUAAAGGAUAUUUAUUUGAAAUGUCAAAAGUUAUAUUUUGGGAGAAAUGAGAUGUAAAAAGAAAUGAUGCAAGAAUGUGAAAGAACUUGAUUAUAGUUGGAUGCAUGUAUGUGAUUUAAAUUUAGUCAUAUUACUUGUAUGUUGAGCCUUGGGCGGACAGGGGAAGCUCUGUCCGUUCGGCGUCUGUUUGACGCUCUCGAACCGGCCAAAAGGAUCGGGCUCGGGGCGUGACACUAUGAUUGCUAAUACUAGGGCUACUACUACUUCUAACUAGGGGUGGAACUGGGCCUGGGCCUAAACAAGGCCCGGCCCGAUGGGUCAUGUUUCGGCCUGGCUUUGGGUAUUAGAAAUAUAAUUUUGGAUUCGGGCCGGGCUUAAAAAUUUACGCCCGAAAAAAUUUUAGGCCUAUUUGGGCAUGUCCAAGCCCGGCCCGAGCCUGACCCAAAAGCCCGAUAUAUUAAUUAUCAAAAUAAAAAUAUUUAAUUAUAUAUAUAUAUAUAUAUAUAUAUAUAUAUAUAUAUAUAUAUAUAUAUAUAUAUAUAUAUAUAUAUAUAUAUAUAUAAUAUUUAUCUAUAAAAAGAAUAAAUGAUAUAGUAUAUCAUAUAUAGUAUAUAUUGUUAUAAAUGAUAUUUAUUUAUAUAUAUGAGGAUAUAUUAUAUACUAACAAAAUAUUUAGUCCCAUAUUACGAUAUAUUAAUUGUAUUAUUAUAUAUAAUUAAUUAAUUAUACAUAUCUAUAAAGAAAUAUAUGGUACAUAUUAUUAUAUAUAGCUAAUUAGUUAUAUGAUAAAUGCAUAAAAUGGGCCUCCACAAAGCCCGAUGGGUAUUGGGCAUUGGGUUUGGUCUUGGGCCGGGCCUUAAUUUUCAAAAAUAAUUAGGUAAAAGCCGGACCCGAAGCCCAGCAUUUUCUUUUGGGCCGGGCUUGGGCAUAGUAUAACCCCACCCAAGCCCGACCCAGUUCCACCCCUACUUCUAACACUAAAGGAUGUUGCUGCCUCUUUUUCUGCUGCACCUACUUUUUUUGUUCUUCUUAUGCAUCUAUUGCUAUUGGUUCCCUAUGUAGCUUGAAGCAUAUAUUCUUGGGCAUUAAUAUGUGCUUUCUGUUACCGACCAUCCCUAGAGCAAGUGGCAAAGGGCUUGGUGGUUGGUACCCGAGACUCAAGGUCGAAUUCUAGUUGAUUCACAUUUCUAGCUAAGUUUAUUUCUAAAUGAAAUAAACGAAACGGGUAGCGUGCUACCUAUCUCUCUACAAAUUUCAACUAGUAGUGUUAUGUACUAACCUUUUUUUUCGUUCAAUCAAAUCUCGAAGUUUGAUAUUGGUCAUUUUGAUUUCAUCAUAAUUGACAAUAUUACAAAUAACUUUAUUGUUUAUCUUAUAAAUAUGGCAUUACAAUACUCAAAAAUUUUAUAAUCUAAUUUUCAAUAAAAUUGCUAUAACUUUUUCUGCUUUUAUAUUCACCUUUCUUCCUUGUUUGUUUCUACUGCAUAUCGAAUUAUGUUGGUAUGCUUACGCUAUUGUUUGGUAUUUUAUUUCUAUUUAAUGGUUUACUAUUGUUUCUGCUACUCUUGCUCCUUUUUCUUCUUUUUCUUCCUUUUGUUAUAGUUAUAGUUCCUUCUUAUGUUCUUUCACACUUUUGCAGUUCUGGUCAUUCUUCGCGCAAUUGUUGUAGCACACUUGGCUGAAUUUUGACUGCAUAGAACUUAUCUAUUGUCCCAGUUGUCGAUGCAUUAUUCUCUGCAGUCUGAUUUUUGCUACUAUGUCGACGGUUUUGUAGAGAGACUCUACUUUCUCUUACAUCAUUUUGUGCUAACUCCUUUCCAUCCUUUUCUAUUUAGUUUGUUUAUUACUGUUGGUGUUGUUAUUACUACUAAUUGAUCAUCUUUUUCUUUAGUUACUUUUUCUAACCUUUCUUUGUCAUGUUGAUUUCUUGCAGUGCUUUCGCCUUUAUUUACAGAUGGUUGUACUUUGGAACUUGCGUAUGAAUUUAAUGUUAGCUGCAGUGGAUGCUUGUUUGACUAUCAUACACCUAAUUGACACUACAAGAUUUUAUUUCUUAUGGUGUUUAACAAAUUAUUUAUUUUUCUAAAAUUAUUGAUAAAAAGGUAACUGUUUUAGGUCAUAUUCAAAUAAUAUCUUUUUCAUAUCUUUAUUUCUCCUAUGAACUUUAUCUUUAAAAUAAUUUAUACUUGUAACUGAUGACACUUUUGAUUUGUAUUCAUCUUUUUAUUUUUUAUUUUUUAUUUUUUAUUUUUUUAUAAUACUUUUUAUUAUACAUUUACUGUUUUAUUAUUUUUUUUUUCUUCGUUGCUGCUUCCUUCUUCGUUUUCUCUUACAAAUCAACCCACCGGAACAUGCGGAUCCUUACACUCUGUUUGGUUGGGGGUUAAAGGGGGGAUAAGAGGGUUAUCCCAGUUAUCCCCCUCUUUAACCCCAAACAAGAUUUUAGGGGUUAGCUAACCCCACUUCCCCCCAAGAAUAGGGGUGGAUUAAAGUUAAUCCCACCCCUAUUUAAUUUUUAAUAUAAUUUUAAAAUUUUAAUUUUAAAUAAAAAAUUUAAAAAAUUUUUAAUUUGCAAUCUUAAAAUUAAUAUUAAUAUUUUUAAAUUUUAAAUUUUAAAUUUUAAAUUUUAAAUUUUAAAUUUUAAAUUUUAAAUUUUAAUUUUAAUUAUUUAAAAUUUAAAUUUGACAUUUUAUAUUUGAAAAUUUGAAAAUGUUUAAUUUGUAAUAUUAAAAGUAAUAUUUAUAUUUUUAAAUUUUAAUUUUUAAAUUUAAUUUUUAAUUUUUAAAUUUUAAAUUUUAAUUUUUAAUUUUUAAAUUAUAUUUUUAAAUUAUUUAUAAUUUUAAAUUUAAUUAUUUUAUAUUUAAAUUUAAAAAUUAUAAUUUGUAAUCUUAAAUAUAUAUUUAUAUUUUAAUUUUAACUUUUAAUUUAAACUAUUAGUUUUAAUUAUUUAAAUUUAUUUUAUUAGAUUUGAUUUAAAUUUAUAACUUUAAAUUUUAAAUUUGAGAUUUAAAAAUAAAUUUUUAUUUUGAAUUUUUUAAUUUUAAAAGUUAAAAUUUUUAAAUAUAAAAUAAAAUUUUAAAUUCAAAUAUAAAAUAUUAGACAAAAUCAUUAUUUUCUAUUUAUUACUAGGGUGGCAAUCCAGCUCGCUGUUCGCGAGCCAGCUCGUGUUCGGCUCGAAAUGAGCUCGAGAUCGAAUCGCUCAUUUAGUAAACAAGCCGAACACGAGCUGAAUUUUUCAACUCGUUUAAUAAAGGAGCCGAACACGAGCUGGGGUCAGCUCGCUCUGUUCGGCUCGAUAACAGCUCGAAUACAUAUAUUUAUAUUUAUAUAAUUUAUUUAAUUUAUAUUUUUAUAUAUAAAUAAAUAAUUAUAUAUUUUUAUUAUUUAAUUUUUAGCAAAAUAAAAAUAUAAAUGCAAAGAUUAUGUCAUGCCCCGGGGUCCCUUUUAGUUUGAAACACAGCUUUCCUUUUAGUUUGAAACACAGCGGAAAAGCGUCUAUUUUUUUUUUUUUUUAAAAAAAAAGCCUAACCCCAAGAUAUGCCAGAUCCGCUACAAAUACAGAAAAUUCACUGUUUACACGGACAGAGUCUCCCCUAUAUUUGCAUGGCGUCGCACAAGUACACAAGUACAAACAGAGUAUAACCAGGAUACAACCACAAUACAUGAAUAUACAAUACUCAACAUUCGUUCACCAUUCACCAGAUAUUUACCAUUCAGUGUUUAAACAUAAAAGCCACGAGAAAACUCUUUUGAAAGCUGUUUUCCACACGGAAACCUUUUUUUUUUUAAACACGCUACCAUGAGGGGUAGAAAACUAUUUUUCCUUUUUACAAAAUCCACGAGUUCUAUAGUUUAUUCCAAAUCACAUGAAUUCGAAUAAUAUAAACCAACUGAACCAUGAAAUAUUAAAGCUAUUAAUAACAAAAGUAAACAGGGUAGGAACUAAACCAACAAACUAGGUCGGAAGCUCUAGCGACCACUACGAACGUGUCUCACGUCUCGUCUCAACUCUCACCGCCCGCGAUACNAGAACUAAACAACAGUACGGGUCAGUAGAAAAUACAGUAGCAAUAAUAAUGAAUGAAAGAGACAUAUAUAUGAAAGAAAGUACAACUACCGCUACUGUAAUGAACAACUGAAUAUAUACAUGUAACAAGGCUAUAGUAGCAAGACAAUGUAACCAAAGAACUGAAGGUAUAUAAGCGACAAUCGCUACUAUAGUUAUAUGUGUCAACCAGACGAUAAGUCCAAAAUACCCAAUCUGUAAUGGCCGUAUUGGUACGCAACACCUCAGGCCUAUGCCACAUCUACUCUGACAGAAACAAGCCAUAUUGGUACCCAACACCUCAGGCUGAAAGCAUAUAACCCCUCUGGGGCUCACGGGUUGACACAAGCAACCACUUUUCCAGAAAAGAACACUGCUUGCGGUGGAUCAGACCGCCAGUGUUCGUGAAAUGCGACGAGUAUCGGGCGGUCAAUGCUGAUAUGCUUAAAGGCCAAACGUCAGCAACCAGCCGACAAUCUUGCCCACAGGGCUCAUCGACCGUAUAGGUCAUCAACUGUAAGGAAGCACAAGAACUAACCACUCAGGUCAACUAGGAUGGGACAACAUCAACAUCCUCUCAAACAUAUGCAAAUACUGCUCAAUGAACCACGAGGACUGACCACUCAGGUCAACUAGGAUAUAUGCACAACGAAUCAACGAAUGGGUCAUCAGGGUGUAUCAAUAGAAUCCAGAACUACCGUCGGCCACUAGCCAACAAUCCAACCCCUCUAGGGUACAUCGACCACGACGGUCAUCGAACGACAGAAGUCAAGGAACCGACCGAAUGUGUUACAAAUACGAGAUACCAGAACAGAUCAACCAGGUCACCGAUACGAAGUACAAGAAUCGACCUACCAAGUCACUGAUAUAAAGUACAAGAAUCGACCUACCAAGUCACUGAUAUGAAGUACAAGAAUCGAUCAACCAGGUCAACAAAUACGCACAUAGAUAGAACCACUCCACUCAUACUCAGGAUACUAAGCAUGCAAACAACGAGUAGAGUAUAAUGGAAUAACAUGAGUGCAAGGCUCAAUAUAUACUAUGCAAUAAUAACAACAGAAGAGUAAGGGUAAGAAACCAUCACCGAGCGUGCACCAUUGUACCGACGUCGGAUCGAAGUACCCACCUGUACGUAUAUAAAACUGGUCUCUCGACUGCGGAGACGGAGCAACCGAACCUACGAAAGGUCCAACGGGUUAGGAUCUAACCCACUGACAUGUAACGCUAACUCACAACCCCCAAUCAUAGCCCCACGGAAUCGGUUUCCCAAAACCGAUUACCGAACAUGCCGGAAGUCCCGAAAACCUCACCGGAACUUCACUGUCGCUCACCCGUCAUUUUCGAACCUUCAAAACGAUGGGGGUAACCAGCCAACAAGGCUCAGCGACGUCGCAAAUAAUCACCAAGUACCGUCGGAAGAAUUCUGAACCGAAACAGCGUUCUAUCAGCGGAUUUCGCCGAGAAACGCAUCGGAAAUCACUUUUCGAUUUCCGCAAGGGUUUGGGGCCUUGGACAAUCAGUCCAGAGGUUAUCCUCAGCCCAAACAUGCUGCCGACAGCAGCUACAUUGAAGCAAAAAGCAUAAAAGCCCGUACCGAUACAUAAAAUCACAUCAUUUUAUGUGAUUUCUGAGCUUUUAUGGGUCGUGCACGUAAACCAGAGGUCGAUUGAUCAGACCGUCGCACUCGCUGCUAGGUUUCAGCAUGUCGGAGGCUGUGCUCACAUUUCGGAGCACUGCCGGCCACUGUGGCACGCGCACGAGCGACGCGAAAACCUGUGAAACAGCGCGCACAGCGCCAAGAUCGCAAUUAACUCGUUAACCAGGGCAUCCUUGCCCCUGCCGGAGGUGAGCACGAUGUUCAGCACGAACCCUAGAUCAUCGUGCUCACUUCUCGGGGUGUCGGGGAGUCAUCGGAUCACCGGAAAGGUGGCCGAAAAGCUAAACUACUAUGCUGGAACCUAAAAACAGCAUACCAGAGCAGUGGGAGCUAGGGUUGGCCUCCGGCGGCCGGACGGCGAGCACUCCGGCCGGGAAUGGGAGUAGUCGGUCCGAGAGGUCCGGGGAGGGUGCUGGCCGGCGGCGGGCGGCAACCGGUGGCGCGGCGGAGGAGAUCAAAUCCGUGCACUAACUCACGGGUUCAAGGUUUCCCGGCGGCGAGGCGGCGGCCGGAGGAGGUCGGGGCGGCGACGAUCCGGCGCCGGAGGCCGAGGGGAAGGUGGUGCACCCCCCGGUGGGCGGCGGC
rnacentral:lncRNA from 1 species